rnacentral:rRNA from 1 species
GACGAACGCUGGCGGCGUGCUUAACACAUGCAAGUCGAGCGAGGCCCUCCUUCGGGGGGUGCCCUAGCGGCGAACGGGUGAGUAACACGUGGGCAACCUGCCCUCAGCUCUGGGAUAACUCCAAGAAAUUGGUGCUAAUACCGGAUGUGACCGCUGACCGCAUGGUCUGGUGGUGGAAAGAUUCAUCGGCUGAGGAUGGGCCCGCGGCCUAUCAGCUUGUUGGGGGGUGAUGGCCUACCAAGGCGACGACGGGUAGCCGGCCUGAGAGGGUGACCGGCCACACUGGGACUGAGACACGGCCCAGACUCCUACGGGAGGCAGCAGUGGGGAAUAUUGCGCAAUGGGCGAAAGCCUGACGCAGCGACGCCGCGUGAGGGAUGACGGCC